AUUGAACGCUGGCGGCAGGCCUAACACAUGCAAGUCGAGCGGGGUUUUCGGACCUAGCGGCGGACGGGUGAGUAAUGCGUAGGAAGCUACCCGAUAGAGGGGGAUACCAGUUGGAAACGACUGUUAAUACCGCAUAAUGUCUACGGACCAAAGUGUGGGACCUUCGGGCCACAUGCUAUCGGAUGCGCCUACGUGGGAUUAGCUAGUUGGUGAGGUAAUGGCUCACCAAGGCGACGAUCUCUAGCUGGUUUGAGAGGAUGAUCAGCCACACUGGAACUGAGACACGGUCCAGACUCCUACGGGAGGCAGCAGUGGGGAAUAUUGGACAAUGGGCGGCAAGCCUGAUCCAGCCAUGCCGCGUGUGUGAAGAAGG
rnacentral:rRNA from 1 species